rnacentral:pre_miRNA from 1 species
AUUGCUCACUCUCCCUCAAGGGCUUCUCAGUUCAAGGCAAUGAUAUUAUACCAAGGUCCUUAGUUUUAAGGGGCACUUUGGUAUGUUUUAGGCUAUGAAGCUCGUUGGGGGGGAAUGACCAA